UACAGAGGGUGCAAGCGUUGUUCGGAGUUACUGGGCGUAAAGAGUGUGUAGGCGGUUCUCUAAGUUCGGUGUGAAAUCUCCCGGCUCAACUGGGAGGGUGCGCCGGAAACUGGAGGGCUUGAGUAUGGGAGAGGAAAGCGGAAUUCCUGGUGUAGCGGUGAAAUGCGUAGAUAUCAGGAGGAACACCUGCGGUGU
rnacentral:rRNA from 1 species